CUAAUUAUUAAUUGAUUAUUUUGAGGUUGAUCCUACCUUAUUUUUUUUUAUAAUAAUUAGUUAUUUUGAUAAUAUUAGAUAUAAGUUUUUGCGUGUUUUUUUAAUUGUCUUAAGGGUGAUUAAUUAAUUUUUAUUUGUAGUUUUUAAUUUUGGGUUUAAUAUUUUUAAAAUUGAAUGUCCAGUUAAUUUUUAUUAAGAUUAUUUAAGGUUGUGCCAGCAUACGCGGUUAUACAUCCAAUCUAAAUUAAUUUUUUUGGUUAGUAUUUAUUUUUAUUUUUGGGAUUAUGAUUUAAAUUAUUAGGUGAAAUUUUAAUUUUAUAUUAUUUCUUGGUUUAAUAUUAAUAUUAAAUUUAGUUUAUAGACUAGGAUUAGAU
rnacentral:rRNA from 1 species